GAUGAACGCUAGCGGGAGGCUUAACACAUGCAAGUCGAGGGGCAGCACGAGGUAGCAAUACUUUGGUGGCGACCGGCAGACGGGUGAGUAGCGCGUAUGUAACCUACCCUGUACUGGGGGAUAACCCGGAGAAAUUCGGACUAAUACCCCAUAGAGAUAUAGAGAGGCAUCUUGAAAUAUUUAAAGUUCCGACGGUACGGGAUGGGCAUGCGUAACAUUAGCUAGUUGGUAAGGUAACGGCUUACCAAGGCUUUGAUGUUUAGGGGUCCUGAGAGGGUGAUCCCCCACACUGGUACUGAGACACGGACCAGACUCCUACGGGAGGCAGCAGUGAGGAAUAUUGGUCAAUGGGCGCAAGCCUGAACCAGCCAUCCCGCGUGCAGGAAGACGGCCCUAUGGGUUGUAAACUGCUUUUCCAGGAGGAGAAACUCUCGUACGUGAUACGGGAUUGACGGUACCCUGGGAAUAAGCAUCGGCUAACUCCGUG
rnacentral:rRNA from 1 species